rnacentral:rRNA from 1 species
GACCUGGCUGAUCUGUCCUCCUCAUCGAGCGUACGGAUUCGGUCGGGUCUUUCCUUCUGGGGAGCCCCAUGUCCUUUAGUGGGUGUGGUGGGGAACCAGGACUUUUACCUUGAAAAAAUUAGAGUGUUCAAAGCAGGCCUUUGCUCGAAUACAUUAGCAUGGAAUAAUAGAAUAGGACUU